GUGGGGUUUUUGGUACGUAUGCGUGAUUACUUCGUAAUCCUGAAUCGUGCAUGCUAGUGGGGUUUGGCCUCCACUAGUAUCUUUGAAGAUUUUCCUUCUCAGAGAAA
rfam:Drosophila persimilis strain MSH-3 cont1.016005, whole genome shotgun sequence.